UGCAUCGGCCGGGAAUCGAGUCCAGGCCGCCCGCGUGGCAGGCGAGCAUUCUACCACUGAACCGCCGAUGC
rnacentral:tRNA from 1 species